rnacentral:rRNA from 1 species
UACGUAGGGCGCAAGCGUUAUCCGGAAUUAUUGGGCGUAAAGAGCUCGUAGGCGGUUUGUCGCGUCUGCCGUGAAAGUCCGGGGCUCAACUCCGGAUCUGCGGUGGGUACGGGCAGACUAGAGUGAUGUAGGGGAGACUGGAAUUCCUGGUGUAGCGGUGAAAUGCGCAGAUAUCAGGAGGAACACCGAUGGCGAAGGCAGGUCUCUGGGCAUUAACUGACGCUGAGGAGCGAAAGCAUGGGGAGCGAACAGGA